GACGAACGCUGGCGGCGUGCUUAACACAUGCAAGUCGAACGGAAAGGCCCUGCUUUUGUGGGGUGCUCGAGUGGCGAACGGGUGAGUAACACGUGAGUAACCUGCCCUUGACUUUGGGAUAACUUCAGGAAACUGGGGCUAAUACCGGAUAGGAGCUCCUGCUGCAUGGUGGGGGUUGGAAAGUUUCGGCGGUUGGGGAUGGACUCGCGGCUUAUCAGCUUGUUGGUGGGGUAGUGGCUUACCAAGGCUUUGACGGGUAGCCGGCCUGAGAGGGUGACCGGCCACAUUGGGACUGAGAUACGGCCCAUACUCAUACGGGAGGAAGCAGUGGGGACUAUAGCAAAAUGGGCGGAAGCCUGAUGCAGCAACGCCGCGUGCGGGAUGACGGCCUUCGGGUUGUAAACGGCUUUCGCCUGUGACGAAGCGUGAGUGACGGUAAUGGGUAAAGAAGCACCGGCUAACUACGU
rnacentral:rRNA from 1 species